UACGUAGGGUGCAAGCGUUAAUCGGAAUUACUGGGCGUAAAGCGUGCGCAGGCGGCUUUGUAAGUCUGUCGUGAAAUCCCCCGGGCUCAACCUGGGAAUUGCGAUGGAGACUGCAAGGCUAGAAUCUGGCAGAGGGGGGGUAGAAUUCCACGUGUAGCAGUGAAAUGCGUAGAGAUGUGGAGGAACACCGAUGGCGAAGGCAGCCCCCCUGGGUCAAGAUUGACGCUCAUGCACGAAAGCGUGGGGAGCAAACAGG
rnacentral:rRNA from 1 species